CUCUUAUAGAUUUUAUAAAAUUUGGUUUUUAGGUGAAGAAACCUAAAUAUAAUUAAAAGACAAGAAGACCCUAUCGAGCUUAAAAUAAUUUUUUUGGUAUAAUGAUAACACCUUACUCAAAAAAAGAUUUUAGUUGGGGCGACUAAGGAACAAAAAAAGCUUCCUAUAAGCUAUAGCUACUAAUAAGUAUUGAUCCAAAAAAAUUUGAUUAACAGAAUUAGUUACCGUAGGGAUAACAGCAUAAUCUUUUCUUAGAGUCCUUAUCGAAGAAAAGGUUUGUGACCUCGAUGUUGGACUAGGGUGCCCAGACAGGUGCAGAAGCCUUCAAUGGUUGGUCUGUUCGACCA
rnacentral:rRNA from 1 species